rnacentral:rRNA from 1 species
CUGGAUUUGACAUCUCCGGACAAACGUAGAGAUACGUCUUUUGUAGCAAUACAACCGGAAGACAGGUGCUGCAUGGCUGUCGUCAGCUCGUGUGGUGACAUGUUGGGUUAAGUCCCGCAACGAGCGCAACCCUUGUCCUUAGUUGCCAGCAUUCAGUUGGGCUCUCUAAGGAGACUGCCGUGGUUAACACGGAGGAAGGUGGGGAUGACGUCAAGUCCUCAUGGCCUUUAUAUCCAGGGCGACACACGUGAUACAAUGGACGGUACAGAGGGAAGCCAAAGCGCAAGCUGGAGCUAAUCUCAAAAAGCCGUUCUCAGUUCGGAUUGGAGUCUGCAACUCGACUCCAUGAAGUUGGAAUCGCUAGUAAUCGCGGAUCAGCACGCCGCGGUGAAUACGUUCCCGGGCCUUGUACACACCGCCCGUCACAUCACGAAAGCUGGCUGUACUAGAAAUCACUGAGCUAACCCGCAAGGGAGGCAGGUGCUUAAGGUAUGGUCAGUGAUUGGGGUG